rnacentral:rRNA from 1 species
GGGUGCCCCUUUGUGGUCGGUGUACAGGUGGUGCAUGGUUGUCGUCAGCUCGUGUCGUGAGAUGUUGGGUUAAGUCCCGCAACGAGCGCAACCCUCGUCCUAUGUUGCCAGCGGGUCAUGCCGGGGACUCAUGGGAGACUGCCGGGGUCAACUCGGGAGGAAGGUGGGGAUGACGUCAAAUCAUCAUGCCCCUUAUGUCUUGGGCUUCACGCAUGCUACAAUGGCCGGUACAAAGGGCUGCGAUACCGCGAGGUGGAGCGAAUCCCAGAAAGCCGGUCUCAGUUCGGAUUGGGGUCUGCAACUCGACCCCAUGAAGUCGGAGUCGCUAGUAAUCGCAGAUCAGCAACGCUGCGGUGAAUACGUUCCCGGGCCUU